rnacentral:rRNA from 1 species
GGACUACCGGGGUAUCUAAUCCCGUUUGCUCCCCUGGCUUUCGUGUCUCAGUGUCAGCACACCCCCAGCUACCUGUUUUCACCAUUGGCGUUCCAAACGAUAUCUACGCAUUUCACCGCUCCACCGUUUGUUCCAGUAGCCCCUGAGUGGCUCAAGACACCCAGUAUACCAAGCAAUUCCACAGUUAAGCUGUGGGAUUUCACAAGGUACUUAGGCAUCCACCUACACACGCUUUAAGCCCAGUGAUUCCGCCUAACGCUCGAGGCCUCUGUAUUACCGCGGCUGCUGGCAC